rnacentral:pre_miRNA from 1 species
UAGGUACUCCCUCCGUCCUGAAAUACUUGUCAUCAAAAUGGAUGAAAAUGGAUGUAUCUAAAACUAAAAUACAUCUAGAUACAUCCAUUUCAAUGACAAGUAUUUUCGGACGGAGGGAGUACUAC